AGGUCUUCCACCACAGCUACCGUCAUUUGAGACUGGGUCCAAACCUUCCAAGAAAACAUCCAGGUUCAAGCAGAGACGAAAAAAGGUACAAGAUGGGAAAAAGGACGAAGAGUUUGAUGCAGAGGAAGAGAUGGAAACUCAUGACACCCAUGUCACCAAGGUGCUUACAGAGAUAGUGGAAAGAGACACUAGUGGACAAUCUGUGAGGCAGCCCCUGGCCACAGGCUUGGCUUUCCCCAAGGUGCUGCACAGACAACAUGCAACUGCAGCAGCAC